GAUGAACGCUGGCGGCGUGCCUAAUCAAUGCAAGUCAACGGGGAGUAUUAAUUCGGUUUUUACUCCUAGUGGCGAACGGGUGAGUAACGCGUUGGUGACCUGCCCCGAAGCCGGGGGAUAACAGUCCAAAGGACUGCUAAUACCCCAUGUGGUCGUACAGGUUAGAGGCUGAACGCUAAAGGAGCAAUCCACUUCCGGGAGGGGCCUGCGUCCCAUCAGCUAGUUGGUAAGGUAACGGCCUACCAAGGCGAUGACGGGUAGGGGACCUGAGAGGGUGGUCCCCCACACUGGCACUGAAACACGGGCCAGACACCUACGGGUGGCAGCAGUAGGGAAUAUUGCACAAUGGGCGAAAGCCUGAUGCAGCAACGCCGCGUGCGCGAAGAAGGCCUUCGGGUUGUAAAGCGCUUUUCUGGAGGAAGAGGAAGGACGGUACUCCAGGAAUAAGGAUCGGCUAACUACGUG
rnacentral:rRNA from 1 species